CAGACAUUGCAGCCGCUUCCUGUCUCACUGCUGGUCUGGAAUUUCAGAGAACCCCUGAGCUGGAGUUCUGAAUUGAAACCUGGAGCCUGUCUGGUUCCACAUUCACCUUUCACCACCGGCCGUUUCUUGAACACCCGCUGUGUGUCGAGGCCUGGGAUCUGCCUUACUCAACUCCCACUUCUACCAGGAGCAGAGGAUCACCGCUGCCCAGCACCCCGCCCAUCUGAAUUCUGACUCUGGUGGCUUCAGAGAAGCAAGGAGAAGAGAGACAGAAGGAGAGAAGAGGGGCAGGAGGAGAGAAAACACAAGAAAGAGGAUGGAAGAUAAAGAGGAAGGCCAGAGUGAGGCAGGAGAAAGCUGAGCUGGAACCUAACUCCUGUUGAUCUGCUGCAGAGACCCUCUCAUUCCACAAUUGCUCCCGCCAUGCCAAGGAGACAAGCUCAACAUACAAAGAACAAGGAGAGAACAAUGGAAGAUGGCCUAUAAUUCAGAAGCACAUUGGGUGGAGCAUAUUGCACAUGUAGAAGCUUGUCACGGAACCCAAGAAAGCUGGAGGAACCUGGGAAGGCUUCCUGGAAGAAGGAUUUUGCAUCGGGUUGAUGUAGUGGAUGCUGUAGUCCACUACCCAGAUUCCUUCCCCAACCCACAACAAUGAGGUUCUCAUUCCGGAGCUGCUAGGAGGGAUGCCAGAUAAUAGCACACAGCUGAACUUCUCUUCAGCUAUUGCCCUCAGAUUAAGAAAGCUGCCUUGCUCAAGGUUACACGCCUUUCCUGGGAAACCAGUAUCCAAUGACUGGUUCCUGUAAAAGGAAUGGAGCUGCCUUAAAAGAGCUGCCUUGCUUCAAUUUGGGAAGACUAUGAAGAGCCAUCCCAGCUCUGGAGUUCUCCGUAGGGUUGGGUUUUUGAGACUAUGCAGAAGUUAUUCCAUGAGUUCCAAGCCCAGGUCAUGAAAGAUAACUUGUAAUAAAUCUGGCUACCCUGAAGCUGCCAUGCUUGAGAGACCACACGAGAUGGAGAGAGAUGCUUAGGAGUCCCAGCUGUCCAAGCCUCCAGCUAUGUGAAUCUUCCCAGCAGCAACUGCCAGACAUGUGGUACACCCAAAAUGACUUUGGGGCUACACUUGGAAUUGGCAAGGUUCCAGAAAACAGAGGGACUAUCAUCAGAGACAGCGCACAAAAAGUGGGAGAAAGGUCACCAGCCUCACUCAUGGUGAGUGGGAACCUUCAAUCAGUUUAGGGCUAUUAUGAAUAAAGCUGCUAUGAACACUUGUUUACAAGUUCUUUGUGAGGACACAUGUUUUCAUUUAUCUUGGGAAAAUACCUAGAGAUGGAACUCUGGGACACAUGGUAAUAAAGUAUAUUGGCAUAAUGCAAGAGUCAAGAUGCAGAAAAUAACUACUGUGUGAUGUCUCUCUCCCAGCUUUAACCCGCCUGAAGGGCAGCACUGAGUUCAACACACUGUCCCACAAUUGUUGCACUCUCACACUGAAGUGAACAGAUUCUUUCUCCGUGCCGUGCAGCUCCCGGCAGAGGAUGAGGGAAGGGUACCAUCGGUGAUUCAGCACUGUGUUUCCUAUCCUCUUCAAUGACUCUUUCAGCGAUAUGAAGGUAAAACCAGACUUGAAAGCGUGUGUCAGAUCCCUUCACUAUAUCUUCAGACCUGCCCCAAGGAGUGAGGAAGGGCAACACCAAGAACUUCUCUCCAAGGACCAUAACCUGCGAACCCCAUCUCACCUCCUCCUGCCAGAUGGACACAGUCAUUGUCCUCCUGGCUGAUCCCAUGUCCAUGUCUUGCUCUGGCUACUUUCAUACACCCAUAAUGACAUUUUCCAUCUACUCAAUUUUUUAAAAGCUCAGCUCGAACCUCACGGAUUUUCCUGACAAUCUGCUUCUCUCAAUGGCCUUAAUUUAAGUGAGGGUUGUCAGUCUUACUGGGUCUCGUUUUUUGUCUUAAAUAAUAACUAUUUAUGGGUAUCAAGUGUCUCCUCAAUUUGGCUAUGAUCCUUCACGGCAGAAAUACUGUCUUAUCUUGUGAUCAUGGAGUCACAAGAUUUCAUGGCUAGGAAUAUUCGUCAAAUUAAUCCUAGAUUGAGGAUCAGGUAGUAUGUGGUCUGAUUCUAACUCAACAACUUGCAGAAACUCACUUCUUUUUUCUUUUUUUUUCCCCAGGAGGAGCUAUCGUAUUAACUGACGAAACUCACUUCAUUUCUUUGGACCUGCAAAAUGAGGAUGGGCUCUAAACCACCUCUAAAGUUAAUAUUCUAUGAUUCCAUGAUAAGGCUAUUUGUCAUUUAUAAAAAAAGGAACUUCCACAUAGCCCAGAGAAAGGAAAUGACUUUUUCAAGUUUACAGAGUCAAUUAAUGGACGAAAUGUAAUUUGAAAUUCAAUCUCCUGAUCCCCAGUCUAUUGGGAGUUCUUUCAGAAUGUCCCUUGACUGUCCCUCAAAGUGCCAGCAUGUAUGAAACCUUGUUAAGGAUGUAUGCUCAAUGAAAAUACACAAAUUGACUUAACAAGAAACUAAACUCUCCAGAAAGAUGCAGUUGACCCAAAACUCUGAAUAUCUUUUAUGUUUAAAACUUUCUUUUUUGAACAAAAUUGUACAGUUACUUCUCUAUUUCAACUCUUAAGCCUUUUAUGCCACGUCAAAGGUUAGCUCUCUUUUCUCUCUGUUAAUAAAGUCUUAUUCUUGACUUUGGAACUGUA
rnacentral:lncRNA from 1 species